UUUUUUUUUUUUCUGUUUUGGGCUUAUGUGGGCUUGAUUUGGUUGGGCUAUCACACAAUCACCAAGCAGGCUGAUCCAUUUACAAGUGUUUUUAUUCCCAUGUGUCACACGGAGCGUCCAAAAGCAACAGAAUUUCAGAAUUUCUAGAAUCCAAAAUAUCAGUCAGUUCGUCAGCUUGAAAAUAUCAUGAUGUCCGUAUCAUCGAGAUUCUACAACUUCUGUUAUUUCUAUAAGUUUCAAAUUUCUAAAGUCACACUUGUUCCCUCGACUACCUCCAAGCACUGUUCAUUGAGCAACUAAGCAUGUGCUGUUAUUAUACACUUAUGAACAUCAAUCCAGUUAAUUUCUCAAUACAUAUUGAAGAUUUAUUAUCGAACCCAUAGAAAAUGAAAUAUAUAUUUCUAAAACCAUAGAACUUGAUCCUUUCAAUCAUGUGUUCCUGAGGUACUGC
rnacentral:lncRNA from 1 species